rnacentral:rRNA from 1 species
GUGGGGAAUAUUGGACAAUGGGCGAAAGCCUGAUCCAGCCAUGCCGCGUGUGUGAAGAAGGUCUUCGGAUUGUAAAGCACUUUAAGUUGGGAGGAAGGGCAGUAAGCUAAUACCUUGCUGUUUUGACGUUACCGACAGAAUAAGCACCGGCUAACUUCGUGCCAGCAGCCGCGGUAAUACGAAGGGUGCAAGCGUUAAUCGGAAUUACUGGGCGUAAAGCGCGCGUAGGUGGUUUUGUAAGUUGGAGGUGAAAUCCCCGGGCUCAACCUGGGAACUGCCUCCAAAACUGCAUGACUAGAGUACGGUAGAGGGUAGUGGAAUUUCCUGUGUAGCGGUGAAAUGCGUAGAUAUAGGAAGGAACACCAGUGGCGAAGGCGACUACCUGGACUGAUACUGACACUGAGGUGCGAAAGCGUGGGGAGCAAACAGGAUUAGAACCCCGGGUAGUCC